AAGAUUAAGCCAUGCAUGUCUAAGUAUAAACAACUUUGUACUGUGAAACUGCGAAUGGCUCAUUAAAUCAGUUAUAGUUUAUUUGAUAGUACCUUUACCUGGAUAACCGUGGUAAUUCUAGAGCUAAUACAUGCUAAAAAUCCCGACUUCGGAAGGGAUGUAUUUAUUAGAUAAAAACCAAUGCCCUUCGGGGCUCCUUGGUGAUUCAUAAUAACUCAACGAAUCGCAU
rnacentral:rRNA from 1 species